GGUGCCAUAGCUCAGUUGGUAGAGCAAAGGACUGAAAAUCCUUGUGUCAGUGGUUCGAUUCCACUUGGCACCA
rnacentral:tRNA from 1 species